CCCCCCCCCCGCCCCCCCCCAAUCUAUCCAGGUCGACCUGGCGGCUGGACCCCUUUCAUCUCCUCGGCCUCGGGGUAGCUGGAUGAGAGGAGAGAAAGGAAACCAGGGGAAGUGGUGCAUGCGUGACGGUCUCCAGUGAACUGGAAACGACUUGUACGAAGCCACAGCGCAGCCUCCUGGUCAUUCCCCGCACGGCCUACUCACUCCCUGCCCUGCUGCGCUGCGUAGAGGCCAGUGUGACCUCUGCACUCCCCCUCUUAACCCCCCCGUAUACUCCCACUUUAAGGUUUCCGGGUCUUUCCUUGUCCUUCCUGUGCCCCCCUCCUGCUCACACCUUUGCAGGACUUCGCUGCGUUAUUUUUUUUCCCACCUCAUCUCCCUCGCACACCGUUUUUUACAUGUUUCCCUGUCUCAGAAAGCUUGCCUUGGCCCCCUCGCCUUCCUUCCUUUCCUUCCCCUCCCCACCGCUCCCUUCCUUGACUGAAGGCUGCUCGCCCAGGCACCAGACUCCACAGGCCUCUGCGGCUCCCGGCACUCUGGACCAGCCCCUUCUCAACAUCCUCCGCUUCUGUGGCCCAGGCUCGCCAGGUCUCUGACCCCCUCCUGCCCAUUCUCGUCACACCUCCAGCCAGCCUCGCCUGCCACUGCCCAGCUCACCAGUCUCUGGGCGUUCCCACUACCCAAAGGGCAGGGCUGGGAGCUGAGCAGGAAAACCAUCUGUGCUGGUGCGUGGGAAGCCUGUGCUCCGUUUCCCUGCAUGAAUGACGAAACGUUAAUGGGUCCUGGAACACAGGAAGUGCUCCGGGUACUUAACAGUUAAAAAACUCAUUCAGUCACCAGAACAGCUCUGAGGAAGCCAUUUUUGUGCCCGACAUGUGAGAUUACGAGAAAGAAGAGUUCCCUUUGAGGAUCUGGAAGGUCUGGAUUCAGACUCUGGAAACCUGCCCCCCAGAACCUGUACCUAUUAAAAUAGGCUUGGCGUCUACCAGCCCCGACUUCUGAAUGACUGGCUGAAUGUCCGACUCCUGCUGAGCAAAAUCACACCAAGGGCAAGCCCGGAAAGGAGCAGUUUCCUGAAGAUUGCCCAAACUAGCGGGCCUCUGUCAUAGGUCAACAGGCGUUUGGACGAGGCAGGGGAGUGCUCACUCAUGCUUCCACACCUGGAUUUGGGAGAAUGUGGUGCUCAGCCUUAUGCAAGUACAGGUCUUCCAGGUGCUCGGCCCCACCUUGCCCCUGAGGCCCUGGCCAUGGGCAGCAGGCUCCCUUCUCUGUAAGGCCAGAGCUGCUCCACCCAACAGGCCCACAGAGGGCUUUCUGUGCCGGGCAGUGAGGCAUCGGACAUGGCCUUCUCUCCAAGGGAUAUUAUGUGGGAGCUGCUGCUGGGGUGGUAAUGGGCAUGCGUGAGUGUAGGCCUCUGCGAUCUUAGGGAGCCUGGGGGGAGAGCUUCCCAGAAGAGGAGGCUGGGUCAGAGCCAGCAGAGAAGGGAAGGCCUCAGUCUCAGUAGCCGGGGCCACCUGCUUGCCCCUGGUCAGCAGCACCGGAGCAUGGACUGCAGAGGCAGGGAGAAAGGGGAGGUGCUUUGCAACGGUCCCAGCACCCAAGGCACCCUCCUGUCCUAGGAAGGUCCUGCCCAGGCACCAAUUGCUUGGCCCUGUCACCUGGAGGUGCGGUGCCUUCAGCUUUACCAGCUGAGUGGAAUGGCUGUGUGACCUUCCCGGGUGGGCGUUUCCAGCUCUAGGGUCCCGCUUGGUGUCAGGCCACAGGGUUGUCUGCCCCUAAACUGUGGUGACUUGUCCCAAAUGAUGGAUCUUGGUAAAGAUGCUUCCACAGGCUUGUGUCUGUUCCUCAAGAGGUUGCUGCCUGGCCUUCCAGGGCUGACUGGGCCUCCUGCAGUUCUCAUUCGUCCGGGCGCUCUCUAAUCCAGAGAACCGAAUACCUUUGGCGCCAUUUUGGCUCUUUGGGAACUCAGCGAGACCUGGCGUUUCCUCCUCUGAGGCUGCAGUGCAAAGGUAUGUUCAUCCUCAGAGUGCUUUUGGGGUCUCCGGGGUGACCCAGGGAAACCCGCAAUGGGCGGUGUAGAAUAAGGACUGUGGAAUAACUUAGAAAAAGUCAAGGCUACCUGUAAGUGGAUACUGGCCUGGUGAAGUUACCAAUUUUAGAGAGCCCAGCUUUGGAGGAGGAGGAAAAUAAAGCAGAACUCACAGAGGUCUGAGACCAUUAUUUCUUCAUUCCGCUUUCUUCCUGUGCUCUGCAUCUCGUAUUUCCGCAGGGGCUUCAAAGGCAUGGUUUAAUAACUAGCAAAAUAAAUGAUCACCUUGGACUAU